rnacentral:lncRNA from 1 species
CCGUCGGCAAAAGUGCAGCAGAUGUAAUGCGUCGUGGAUAAUGGAUGGAAGUAAUUUAAUGCGAAUGGUCUUUAAUUUCAUUGAUCUCUUAUUGUAGAAGAAUUUCAGUUUAACAAUUCGAGUUAAUGCGUUUGCGUGUUGGGAUUGUUAUUUUCUUCAAGCCAAACCUUGCCGACUCCAGAUGGAAAAGAGAGGGUCUUUCUUUCAACUGUUUUGGAACAAAAAACAAUGAGACAUUGUAGAGGUUCUAAGCCUUAUGGAGGGUUUUAAAGUUUGCUCUGAAAUUAUGGUUUGAAGUGAAUUUGCAUUAAAAGGACGCUGUCAACUUUAGAAAGCAGCUUGGAGCGUGAAAAGGUUUUGAUCUGUCGCUGCUUUAAAGUGAUGUUGGUUGUGGAUCACACACACUCUUUGCUUAUUGCUUCUUGUAGCAUCGGGUGAGCUUGUUCCAAGAGGUUUUGUGAAUCAGCCAUGAAAGAGUGUCAGGCACAGACUGUAAAUGUCGUAUAAUUCAAGGUCGGCUCAAGCAAAUGGAUGCAUUAGGCUGAGAGCUCCGGCAUCAAGAUCCAGUUCAUACGAUGGCCGUAUGAGGCACCACAUGUACCAAAGCUUCCAUCCACCUGUUAAAUUGGUCUCUGGUGACAGCUGCUGCAAGCACCUAUAACUGGAGAGACUUUUCCCUUGCCCUUUGCUCUCAGUGAGAUGGAGACGACUGCUCCUCAUACACCCUCCUGACAGUCAGAGAAGGGAGGUAUUUGAACUCAUGAUUCCAGUCCGUAUUACGUCUUGUUAACUCUACAUUUCUAUGGUUCUAUGAUAUUUGACAGGUAGCAGUUUGAAGUAAAUUGAAGACAGCACUUCCUGUUUCUGGAAAGGUGGGAUCUGGUCCCCCAAAUCUUAAAGGUAAAGGUAAAGGGGCCCCUGACCAUUAGGUCCAGUCAUGGCCGACUCUGGGGUUGCGGCGCUCAUCUCGCUUUAUUGGCUGAGGGAGCCAGCAUACAGCUUCCGGGUCAUGUGGCAGCGCACGGAAACACCGUUUACCUUCCCGCCGAAGAGGUACCUAUUUAUCUACUUGCACUUUGACAUGCUUUCGAACUGCUAGGUUGGCAGGAGCAGGGACCGAGCAACAGGAGCUCACAGAUUUGAACCGCCGAUCGGAAGGUUGGCAAGCCCAAGGCUCAGUGGUUUAGACCACAGCGCCACCCACGUCCCAUCAGGAACAUACCAGACAGUAAAUCCUAUUGAACUCAGUGGGACUUUCUGAGAAAAAAAUAAUUUGGUUUGCAGUGCAAGGCUGCACAGUCUUUACCCAGUUACCUGGAAGUAAACUCCAUUGAAUACAGUGGGACUUACUUCUGAGUAGACACGUAAAGGCUUGCCGUGUAAGGCUCAAUUUACAAUAAAGUGAUAAACACUCCACAUAUUUCCUAAAAAAUGGCUGUUUGCUGAAGCAUUGCGAUUAAAGAAUUUAAAGCAGGUUGGUGACCUUUUCCUUCAAAAUUAUAGAAAGGGUUUCGUAUGCCAGCUUCACCAUUUCUUUCACUUGGUGCCGGUAUUUUAUUUUCAGUAUAAACAAGACUCUUUUUUUUUGGCAACUACACCCCCCACCCACCCCCACUUUUAAUUGUUCUCCAAGAUGGGGGGGGGCGGGAGAGGAAAAAGGGAAACCGGGACUUUCUGGGAUCAAAUCAUAAACUAAUUCUGUAAUUCUAGGGCUGUUCCUGGAAAAUAUGGACACUUGGAAGGUAGGCAUCGAUAGCCUUACCUUCCUCCAUGAAUCUGCUUUUAAAGCCAUGCAACUUGGUGACAGUCCUGUGGGAGUGAGUUCCAUAGUCCAACAAUGCAUCGUGUGAAGAAGUAAUUUCGUUUGUCUGUCCCGGACCGCCCAACAUUCAGCUCCAGUGCAUGUGAGUGAGUUCUAGUGCUAUGUUUUCGUGCCCGAAAUCUCUCUCUCGCCCCGUAUCUCCCCAGUAGCAUUUGCUGUGGGCCAGGGAUGGGGCACCAGUGUCCCACCAGCCGUUACCGGACUCUGACUGGCAUCAGCCUCAGCCAGCAAAGCUGGGGGGUUCCUUUUCCCUGCCAUUGGCCCACAGGGACAGAGCAAUGGGAGCUCACCCCGUCGUGGGGAUUCGAACCGCUGACCUUCUGAUUGCCAAGUCCUAGGCUCUGUGGUUUAACCCACAGCGCCACCUGCGUCCCCCUGGAAGUCUUAGGACACAAUAAAAUUGUGAGUAUUUGGGAUACUGCAGGACUCCUUAUUGAUUUUGCUGCAGCUGACUAUCGCUGCUACCUCUCUGGAGUUUGCAUUGCAAGUGAUUCAUUUUGUCUGCCAAACAAAUCCUGUAGUCAUAGUAAGGUAAGGUAAAGGACCCCUGGAUGGUUAAGUCCAGUCAAAGGCAACGAUGGGGUGCUGUGCUCAUCUCCCUUGCCACAGAUGUUAUUAGGCACAUAUUAUAACUGGAACAUUUGUGCCAUUUUUUAAAUGCUGAAAAUGACCCACGCAGAUAAGCCCUUCUUUGGGAUUUUGGAGUUCUGGAGUGAACGUAGAAGCAUUUGUAGGCUUGCAAUCAAGAGACUCAGCAUAAUAUUGCAGGGCUAUUAAACUUCCUAACUGGAGGUGGGGGGAAUUUAGCUCACUGCAGCUAUUGUACUGGCAUCCUGGCGACUUUCUCGUUUUACGAUCUCUCUGUAUCUCCCCCACUCCUCACCUCAACCGCUGUGCCGAUAAUGGCACCCUUGUUUGAAACUGCCCUGGGAGUUCCUGGUUUAAUUGAUCCAACCCGAAAAGUCGUUGGGCUGGCUGCGAAUUUUUGCUUGUAGCUAAAACGGUUCUGCAGAAAGAAGGUGCAUUGAGAAAGAAGCCAGCCAAGACCUUCUCUCUUACGGUCUGGAAUCUCACGUGAAAUAUAACAUAGCCUCAAGGCGGAAGCUUGGAAACCCUAGGAUUUUUCGAAACACGCAGCCAUCACAACUGAGCUUUUGUAUACUUUUGUGCGAACAAAAGCCACAUUGAAUCCUGGCUGAAGGUGGUGCCUUCCUUAAAGCGCUCAAGACUCAACAGAAAGCAGAUCUUGCGCUUUGGGGCAAAACCUUUGGGGCUGCACACACAGGUGGUGGGGAAGGAGGAAGCCACCCCAAAAAGCACUCAAGGGGGUGAUAGAAAGAGAAGGAGCAAAAGGCACGCACACCGCCAGGAAACGCAGCUUUUCUGCCUUGGAAAGCGCAUUGGUGCAAUACUUUAUCCCUCCCCUCCGUUUAAAUAAUAAAAAUAAAAUAAGCAUUGGCAGACUCAGGCUGUUUUCUGGCACAUUCCGCCCGACAUCUGAUCGUUAAAGCGAGCACAGCGUUUACCAGAGGCAACGCACCAAGAUACACUGCAGAUGUGUCUCCCGGAACCACAUGUUCCCCUCUUAAGGAAUUGGCUUUCCUAGGCAAACACAUGCAACCAAUCACCGAAUAAAACAAGGCUGUUUAUCCUUUUCAUGCAGUAUUAUUACAGUAAUCUCAAAUCGGGCAUGUCGGGCUGCAGCCAGAAAUGGCACCAGAGAUGUAUUACUAUUCUGAGAGGAAGGAUAGGGGGUGUCAGGACACAGAGGGCUGUGGGUUGCCUCACCAGAAUGGUACAUGCUCUGGUUAUCUACUGCAACGCACUCUGUGUGGGGCUACCUUUGAAGGUGACUCGGAAACUACAACUAAUCCAGAAUGCGGCAACUAGACUGCUGAUUGGGAGUGGCCGCUAGGACCAUAUUAACACCGGUCCUGAAAUACCUGCGUUGGCUUCUGGUACAUAUCCAAGCACAAUUCAAAGUGUUGGUGCUGACCUUUGAAGCCCUAAACGGCUCAGUCCAGGAUACCUGAAGGAGUAUCUCCACCCCCAUUGUUCAGCCCAGACACUGAGGUCCAGCUCCGAGGGCCUUCUGGCAGUUCCCUCCCUGCGAGAAGUGAGGUUACUGGGAACCAGACAGAGGGCCUUCUCGGUAGUGGUGCCCACCCUGUGGAACGCCCUCCCACCAGAUGUCAAACAGAUAAACAGCUAUGUGAUUUGUAAAAGACAACUGAAGGCAGCCCUGCUCAGGGAAGUUUUUAGUGUUUGAUGUUGCAUUGUGUUUUUAGUAUUUUUUGUUGGGAGAGGCCCAGAGUGGCUGGGGCAACCCAGUCAGGUGGGCAGCAUUUUAUUAUUAUUAUUAUUAUUAUUAUUAUUAUUAUUAUUAUUAUUACUACUACCGUAUUUUUCGCUCUAUUGGACGCAGUUUUUCCCCUCCAAAAAUUGAGGGGAAAUGUGUGUGCGUCCUAUGGAGCGAAUGCAGGCUUGUGCCAUAGCCGCGUGCAACCCCUCCGGCAGGGAGAGGCUGCACGGGUCUAUGGAUUCUUUAGCCCUGUGCAGCGUCUCCCGGCAAGGAGAGGCUGCACGGGGCUAAAGGGGAAGCCAAAACAGCGAGCAGGAUCCAUCCCGCUCGCUGCCUUGCCUUCUUCGAUAGCUGCGCACAACCCCUCUGGCAGGGAGAGGUUGUGUGCAGCCUGUACACUGCUCUUUGGGGCUGGGGGGGGAAAUAUUUUUUUUUCUUGAUUUCCCUCCCUAAAAACUGGGUGCGCCCUAUGGUCCGGUGCGCCCUAUGGUGCGAAAAAUACAGUAUUAAGAGAGGAACUGCAGGAGGAUUAUAAAGCAGGACGGAGCCUCAUGCCUCUGUGUAUGUGUCUCUUUCUCCAAGACGGAGGAAAUUUGGCAACAGUUUUGCAGUGCAAAUUCCUCAUUUUGCCAAAGUCUGGCUCCGGUUUGGAGUGAAUCGGAUGACACUGAGAUUGGGGUAAUUAACCACCAACCCCGUUUUGAUGGAUCAAUUACUCUGUGGGUCGCUGCAAAACUUUGGCACCAAUAUCGAGGGGAUCCCAGAUUUUGGGGUUCAUAUGGUGACAAAGAGGGAGGCAGGACCUUGUUAAUGCUGUCGGACACUCAGCCAAGGACCUCUCAAGUCAGGCUGGAGCUGAUCACCUGACAGGACACGGAACACACCCUCCAAGUGUCCUGAUCUUCCAGGGACAGUCCUGGAAUUAUGAAAAGCUUUUGAUUUCCAUGGAUAGCUGUUUGUCUCAUUUUGCCAUGGUAAUGAGGGUCCUUCAACAGCUGUUGUGUGCUUUACUGUAUUUCCCCUCCCCCUAAAAAAAACACCCUAAUUUUCUUGUGAAGUGUUGUUUUCUUGUUGCCAUGGUGUGAGCAGCAGCAAUGAUGUUUUGGAUGAAAGAAAGCAUGAAGCGUUGCCCCUAACCCCUGUGUCCUUUCCUGGGAUUUUUGCCUGGGCUGUGACGCUUCCCAGCUGCUCCAGGGUCUGCGGAACCUGCCAAUUCUAAAAUGUGUGUGAGGAGUGGACCCCAAAGUCAGCUCCAAAGAGACUGACCACGUCUUCCCCCAAAGAAUCCUGGGAACUGUGGCUGGCUAAGGGUACAGGGAAUUGCAACUCUGUGAGAGGUGAACUAUUAUGAUGAUGAUUAUUAAUCUCCCUACUUUUUAUUUUCCCAUUGUUCCUGUAUGUGGUUGCAUUGGAGUGUCACUGUACCAAGCAGUACUUCAGCUGCAGUGCAGGAAAGACAGGGAUGUGGGGGGGCACUGGAAGACAGCAGAAGUUAAGGACUUGCUUGAGAUUUGGGGGCGAGGGAGCUAAUGUGUAAGUCCCUUUGCGUUCUAGCAAUACUGUAUUCCAAACUUAAAAAUGGAAAGCGUACUGCUGGUGGUCAACAAAAGAGGUUCAAAGACUCAUUCAAGGCAAAUCUAAAAAAAUGUAUAAGCUCUGACGAUUGGGAAUCACUGGCCUGCAAGUGCUCCAAUUGGAGAACAGCCUUUACCAGAUGGCCCCUCAAAAUUCUAAUUGGUCCAGGACAACAUCCCUGUAUUUUUCUGUUCCAAGUGAGGAGAUGAGCUCAGACUUGACUAUCAGAGUCUCUAAAGAGGCCACCAUCUCAUAAUUCUCCUCCAUGACUUCCUUGUGCAGAGCUCUUUGGCCUGGAUCCAGCAGAGAGCACUCCUCCUCUGUGAAAAACUCAGACACCUCCUCAAAGGUCAAGAGGGCCUGCUUCCGUUGCUCUUUCGCUACCUGAGGAAGCUGCCGGGCUCCUCUUUCCACUCCACCUUUAAGUUAAGAAGAGUGUCCUGCUUUUCCUUAGGAUGUCCCUAUUUUCACUGGAGAAAUGUUGGAGGGUAUGGAGUUAUGCAAUCCCCAAGCCAACCUGAAGGCAUCUGAAGGCAGCCCUGUAUAGGAAAGUUUGUUGAAUG